UACGGGGGGGGCAAGCGUUGUUCGGAAUUACUGGGCGUAAAGGGCUCGUAGGCGGCCAACUAAGUCAGACGUGAAAUCCCUCGGCUUAACCGGGGAACUGCGUCUGAUACUGGAUGGCUCGAGUUUGGGAGAGGGAUGCGGAAUUCCAGGUGUAGCGGUGAAAUGCGUAGAUAUCUGGAGGAACACCGGUGGCGAAGGCGGCAUCCUGGACCGAGAUUGACGCUGAUGCGCGAAAGCCAGGGGAGCAAACGGG
rnacentral:rRNA from 1 species